rnacentral:rRNA from 1 species
AGAGAGAGACAUGCGCGCAUAUCAAUAAGCGGAGGAAAAGAAACUAACUAGGAUUCCCUCAGUAACGGCGAGUGAAGCGGGAAGAGCUCAAAUUUGAAAUCUUCAAGGUUCUACCUUGACGAAUUGUAGUUUAAAGAAGUGUUUUCUGUUGGAGUUUUGGUAAAAGUUCUUUGGAAUAGGACAUCAUAGAGGGUGAGAAUCCCGUAUUUGACCAUUAUUUCCAGCUUUGUGAUACACUUUCAAAGAGUCGGAUUGUUUGGGAAUGCAGUCCAAAAUGGGUGGUAAAUUUCAUCUAAAGCUAAAUAUUGGCGAGAGACCGAUAGCGAACAAGUACCGUGAGGGAAAGAUGAAAAGAACUUUGAAAAGAGAGUUAAACGGUACGUGAAAUUGUCAAAAGGGAAGCGUUUGACACCAGUGUUGUUUUCUCGAAAAUCAAUUGAAAAAGGCAGGAUUUUGUGUUGUAUUGACUUUAUCAGCUUUCUGCACUCUUUUCUUGUCUUUUUUAAUGCACUUUUCGUUUAACAAGUCAACAUCAAUUUCUUUUGUUGUAAAAGGGUCAUUGGAAGGUGGCUUUCUUUUCGGAGAAAGUGUUUAUAGCCUUUGGCCUCUGCAAUCGGAGAGAUUGAGGUCUGCAGCGUAGAUCCUUCGGGGUUAGAUACAUUUGUGCUAAGUUAUAGCCUUUUCAUAGACAACUUGUUGACUAUGAUCUGUCAUGUAGCUUACUCGCUUAUGCUAUUUUACCUACGCUUAGGAUGUUGAUGUGAUACUGCGAGC